UACAGAGGUCCCGAGCGUUGUCCGGAAUCAUUGGGCGUAAAGAGCGCGCAGGCGGCUUGGCAAGUCGGGUGUGAAAUCCCCGGGCUCAACCUGGGAAUUGCAUUCGAAACUGCGAGGCUAGGGUACGGAAGAGGGAAGCGGAAUUUCUGGUGUAGCGGUGAAAUGCGUAGAUAUCAGAAGGAACAUCAGUGGCGAAAGCGGCUUCCUGGUCCAGUACCGACGUUCAGGCACGAAAGCGUGGGGAGCAAACAGG
rnacentral:rRNA from 1 species